rnacentral:rRNA from 1 species
GGGUUGUAAACCACUUUUGUAGAGAACGAAAAGACACCAUCGAAUAAAUGGUGUUGCUGACGGUACUCUAAGAAUAAGCACCGGCUAACUACGUGCCAGCAGCCGCGGUAAUACGUAGGGUGCGAGCGUUAAUCGGAAUUACUGGGCGUAAAGGGUGCGCAGGCGGUUGAGUAAGACAGAUGUGAAAUCCCCGAGCUUAACUCGGGAAUGGCAUAUGUGACUGCUCGACUAGAGUGUGUCAGAGGGAGGUGGAAUUCCACGUGUAGCAGUGAAAUGCGUAGAUAUGUGGAAGAACACCGAUGGCGAAGGCAGCCUCCUGGGACAUAACUGACGCUCAGGCACGAAAGCGUGGGGAGCAAACAGGAUUAGAUACCCUGGUAGUCCACGCCCUAAACGAUGUUAACUAGUUGUUGGGAUGUAACAAUCUCAGUCACGCAGCCCACGCGAGAAGUUAACCGCCUGGGAAGCA